CCCUUAGAUGUUCUGGGCCGCACGCGCGCUACGCUGAUGCAUUCAACGAGCCUAUCCUUGACCGACAGGUCCGGGUAAUCUUUGAAUCUGCAUCGUGACGGGGAUAGAUUAUUGCAAUUAUUAAUCUUCAACGAGGAAUGCCUAGUAGGCGCAAGUCAUCAGCUUGCGUCGAUUACGUCCCUGCCCUUUGUACACACCGCCCGUCGCUCCUACCGAUUGGGUGUGCUGGUGAAAUGUUCGGAUCGGCCGUUUGUCGCGGUUUCCGCGGCUCGUGGCUGAGAAGUUCAUUAAACCCUCCCACCUAGAGGAAGGAGAAGUCGUAACA
rnacentral:rRNA from 1 species